GACGAACGCUGGCGGCGUGCUUAACACAUGCAAGUCGAGCGGAAAGGCCCUUCGGGGUACUCGAGCGGCGAACGGGUGAGUAACACGUGAGUAACCUGCCCUGGACUUUGGGAUAACCCUCGGAAACGGGGGCUAAUACCGGAUAUGACCUGUCACUGCAUGGUGGUGGGUGGAAAGUUUUUCGGUCUGGGAUGGGCUCGCGGCCUAUCAGCUUGUUGGUGGGGUGAUGGCCUACCAAGGCGACGACGGGUAGCCGGCCUGAGAGGGCGACCGGCCACACUGGGACUGAGACACGGCCCAGACUCCUACGGGAGGCAGCAGUGGGGAAUAUUGCACAAUGGGCGGAAGCCUGAUGCAGCGACGCCGCGUGAGGGAUGACGG
rnacentral:rRNA from 1 species